rnacentral:lncRNA from 10 species
AGAAAAAGCCAGAGAUAUUGUCUCCACUCUCGUUACAAAAAAGUGCGUUCCUUCUUCAGGAGGAUCGAGUAGAAAAUAUUUUCUACUCGAAGAGGCCAUGGGGAAGUGAUGGUCAAAUCUCUGUUGUGAAGCAAGUUUCCACACAGAAACAUCAUCAAAAACACGUACCUCUGAGCAUCACUUCUUUCUCUAAAAAUAAAAAUAAAUAUGCUGUUUUCCUCCCUUUUUUCUAAUUGGCAUCAUAAAAGUAUAAGAAGCCACAAAUGCAUUGUUGCCACUUAAGAAAAAAAUCCUAUGUUAUACAUAUAUGAACAUAAUUCACUUAGUUGCAUAUGAUUGAAAUAUUUGCAUGCUGGUUUAUAAAUUAUUACCUAAAAGUUUUAUGAAAUAUAAUUAUUAAGUUUUAGUGCUAGAAAAAUUGUUGUUUUUUGUGUUUUGUAUUCAUAGGGAAGACUAGUAAUAUCCCUUACUCCUCAUUCAUAUAGCUAACAAUUUUAAUUGGAUGGCUAAUGGAUAUGGCGGAUUUAACAUUUACAAAACCAAACUACUUUCACUCUGACCCUGCUUCCCCUUUAGCCUUCUCAUCUCACUAUGUGUCGACCCCAAUCUUCCAGUUUCUAGGAAUAAAAAUUUUGGAGUCAUCCUCUCUUUCCUUCCUCUUUUUCUUUCAAAACUACAUCACAUCAGCUAGCUCAUGCUGUUGGGUCUUCAAAAUAUAUCCACACUCUAACCACUUCUCCAAUCUUCUUCACUGUAUUGGACCAAGUCUUCAACAUUUUCCAUCUGGAAUAUUUUAAUAAUCUAAAAACUAGUCUUCUUGCUUCCAGAGUCAAUUUUCAACACAUUAGCAAGAGUGAGUCUCUUAAAAUGUAACUCAGACCAUUUUGUUCUCCAAACCCUCUGAAAGAGUAAAAGCCGAUGUCUUUAUAUCAGUGUAUGAGAAGUCUUGAUAUGAAGGCAGUAAGCACCAGUACAGCAACAUAGCAUGGUUUCUGAUUGGGCUGGCAUUUUUGCUGGUACUAUGAAAAAAUAGUUGUUAAAUACUUUAAUUUCUUGCUUCUGAAGUUCUCUACCCCGUUCUUGCCUUUUCUUAGAUAAUCUCUUAAGAAUCUCUCCUUUAUUUACUGCUGCCAAACUGUCAUCUUUGCUGUUCCAGGAACUUGCUAAGCAUGCCUCUACCUCAGGACUUUCGCAUUUCUGUUCCCUUUGCCUCUAAUUUCAGAUAUCCACGUGGUUUAUUCCCUCAUCUUCUUCAGGUAUUUGCUUAAAUGUCAUCUUCUUUGUGAGGACUCUCUUUCCUAAUUUUAGAUGAAACAGCCCUGUGGUUCUUCAUAUUCUCCUUUCCUGCUGUAUUUCCUCUCCAUAGCAUUUAUCACCUGAUACACCAUACAGAUUAUUUAUUUACUUUGCAUUUCCCCCCAAUAGCAAUGUGAACUCCACAAGGGCAGGAAUUUUUGUCUGUUUACUACUGCAUUACUGGUGCCUUGUACAGUCCCUGGAACUUAACAAAUCCAAAAUGAUUUCAUGAGGAUCCUAAUUUGUUUCAGCAAGUUAUGUAACGGCCAAUAGUAUGAAUUGAAAGAGUUUCUUGUUGUCUUAAUUUAAAAAAUUUUGUUAUUUAUCUUCAAAGGGGAAAUUUUACCCUCUCAUGAUAAUAGAAUCAUGAAUCAAAAAUGAUAUCCUCUUCUCCCCAAUUGUGAUCUCUAUCCCUGAGCCUAAGUUUUACAUCAGUAUUUCAGUUUUGUCUUUAGAAGUUACUCAACGAUCACUGGACCCUAUAUCUAUCCACAUGGCUUACUCUUGGAGAGACUACAAGAUAGCUCAGGGGAAAAGUCAUUUUGAGAUUAAAACUACAUGGAAUUGUUCUUUAUGGAUUAUCAUGGUUAAUUUCAAUUUUUAAAAAUAUGCAGGAAGUUAAAAGACUAUAAUUCCAGUAUUGGAAGCCAGUUUAAGAGAAUAUGACUAUGUAGUUACUUUUAAUGGAAAGGGGAAGAAGAGGAAGAAAAAGGAAAGACAUUGUGUUCGUAUCUUCUCUGCAACAAUUAUAAAAUGAAUGAGGAAGUAUUUUGGUGUUUCUAAGGUCUUUCCAUGAUCUUGAAAUCUAUAUAUUAUAGUCAUUUAGUCUGUGAACCAUUUUAACAAUUGGGUUUCAUGUUACAUAUCUUUAAAUUUUUAUGUUGAAAAUUUAUAGCUGUGACACAAGAUGAUAGAAAUUGCUCAUGCUCACAUAUAUUCCAACUGGCUUUUCAGCUUGCUCCCUUCUCUUUUAAUUUCAGCUAUCAUUUUUAGAGCCUUACAGUCACAAUUGUUCUUAACUAUCCCAAAUUUUUAUUUCCUAUUUGGACUGACUUCUCCAUAAUUUUAGUAACUAAAUGACCUAGAUAUUGGUUCUUGUUGUGAUAGGUUUCUGAUUUGUAUCCUUUGCAGUUUAACUUUUAAUCCUUACCAAACAUAUGUUAUUCCUUUUCUUCAGCUACAUUGUUGUGCCUUUCCCAACACUGUAAUAAUUUAAGCCUCCUGUUUUAUAAUCUUCUAUCAGAACAUAUAUUAAGAAGACACUGAAUUUAAAGAAUCAGCAGGUGAUGUUGAAGAAGAAAUAUAACCUGAAAUAUAAGAAUAGAUGUUUGAAACUGUUUCAGAAGUUAACCAGUCUUUUAGUGGCUUUGUAAUGGGUAGGGGUUUUAUUCCUCUUUGUGUGCUAUGUAGGACAUUGUUAACCAAUAUAGAUUAUGUUUCUUGUCAGUUACACAAGGAUAGGUAAUCAGGGUUAACAGUUCGGAAAACAUUCUCUAGAGAAGAGACUAAUGAUUCUUGCUCACAAACAAGGCAGAAUUUCCUUAUGUUUCUUAAUAUUUGAUCCUUGAUAGUCUGUACAGUGGAAACCAUUUCCCUCUGUGAUAUCCUUUUUUGCCAACCUAUAUGAAUGUGUUUAGCGUCACUUCAGAUAUAGAGUUCAAGCUCAAGUAUACACAGCACAUGAAAGAUCCUAUAGUUCAUGUUCUCUUAGGUUGAAUUUUCUUUUCAUAAUUUUUUAUGAUUGAAUUCUAAGGGUAUGUUCCUUGGUAAAUUGUGUUAAUUAUGUCCACUUUAUAAUGGAUUUAACAAUUUUACAAAGCAGAUCAUUGUUUAUUAUAUUCUGAAAACCAUUAUAUUAAUAUUUUAUUUCUUUUUUUGCAGAGAAACUAUUGUCUUUUUUGAUUUCUGAGGAUGAAUGAAGUACUGUUAAAUAAAAUGUCACUAAAUG